CGUUUUUUGAUUAUAAUUUAAGAUUUAUUCUGCUCAAUGAAAAUUUAAAUAGCCGCAGUAUUUUAACUGCGCAAAGGUAGCAUAAUAAUUUGUUUAUUAAUUGUAAACUGGAAUGAAAGAAUAGAUAAAAUAUUUACUUUAUUAAUAUUAUAAAUAUAAAGUUAAUUUUUUAGUAAAAAAGCUAAAAUUUUUUAUUGGGACGAGAAGACCCUAUAGAAUUUUAUAUUAUAAUGAAUAUUUUAAAUUAAUAUAUUUUUAUAUAUUUAUUAUAUUAAUUUAUUGGGAGGAUAAUUAAAUUUUUAAACUUUAAUAUAAUUAACCAAAGAUAAAUGAAGAUUGGAUUUUAUAUAUAAAAUUUUAGAAAAAUUACCUUAGGGAUAACAGUGUAAUAUUUUUAGAAAGUUCUUAUUGAUAAAAAUGUUUAUAACCUCGAUGUUGAAUUUAGAUUAAUUUAAAUAGAAGUUUGUUUAAAUUUUAGUCUGUUCGACUAUUAAAAUCUAACAU
rnacentral:rRNA from 1 species